GCCCAGAUAGCUCAGUCGGUAGAGCAGCGGACUGAAAAUCCGCGUGUCGGCGGUUCGAUCCCGUCUCUGGGCACCA
rnacentral:tRNA from 1 species